rnacentral:ncRNA from 1 species
AAGAGCCGUAUGAGCGGAGACGUUCACGUACGGUUCUGUGAGAGAGUGGGGGUGCGAUUCCCCCGCUCUACUCGAC